AUUGAACGCUGGCGGAAUGCUUUACACAUGCAAGUCGAACGAUGAACCUUAGCUUGCUAAGGGGAUUAGUGGCGAACGGGUGAGUAAUAUAUCGGAACGUGCCUUGUAAUGGGGGAUAACUAGUCGAAAGAUUAGCUAAUACCGCAUACGCCCUGAGGGGGAAAGUAGGGGCUCUUCGGACCUUACGUUAUAAGAGCGGCCGAUAUCUGAUUAGCUAGUUGGUGGGGUAAUGGCCUACCAAGGCGACGAUCAGUAGCUGGUCUGAGAGGACGACCAGCCACACUGGAACUGAGACACGGUCCAGACUCCUACGGGAGGCAGCAGUGGGGAAUUUUGGACAAUGGGCGCAAGCCUGAUCCAGCCAUUCCGCGUGAGUGAAGAAGGCCUUCGGGUUGUAAAGCUCUUUCGCAAGGGAAGAAAACUUACCAUCGAAUAAAUGGUGAGGCUGACGGUACCUUGAUAAGAAGCACCGGCUAACUACGUG
rnacentral:rRNA from 1 species